rnacentral:rRNA from 1 species
GACGAACGCUGGCGGCGUGCCUAAUACAUGCGAGUAGAACGCUGAAGGAGGAGCUUGCUUCUCUGGAUGAGUUGCGAACGGGUGAGUAACGCGUAGGUAACCUGCCUGGUAGAGGGGGAUAACUCUUGGAAACGAUAGCUAAUACCGCAUAAUAGCUGUUGUUGCAUGAUAACUGUUUGAAAGGUGCAAUUGUACCGCUACCUGAUGGACCUGCGUUGUAUUAGCUAGUUGGUGGGGUAACGGCUCACCAAGGCGACGAUGCGUAGCCGACCUGAGAGGGUGAUCGGCCACACUGGAACUGAGACACGGCCCAGACUCCUACGGGAGGCAGCAGUAGGGAUCUUCGGCAAUGGACGGAAGUCUGACCGAGCAACGCCGCGUGAGUGAAGAAGGUUUUCGGAUCGUAAAGCUCUGUUGUAAGAGAAGAACGAGAGUGAGAGUGGAAAGUUCACACUGUGACGGUAUCUUACCAGAAAGGGACGGCUAACUACGUG